UACGAGUUCUCCUCGCACAUCGUGCGCGGCGAGCACAAGAUAUGAGGUGGGAAAAGCGCCCCUUUGCUGCCUCGGAUUUCCUGAUUUUACCCCGAUUUUACCCCGAUUUCCACCUCUGAAAUUGUGCUCGGGUACACGAGAUGUGAGGUGGGAAAAAGCGCCCCCUUGCUGCGUCGGAUUUCCCGAUUUUACCCCGAUUUUACCCCGAUUUUACCUUCCGAGAUUGUGCUCGGGAUACGCAAGGUGUGAGGUGGGAAAAGCGCCCCCAUCCUGCCUUGGAUUUCCUGAUUUUACCCCAAUUUCAGCCCGAUUUUCACCUCUGAAAUUGUGCUCGGGUACACGAGAUGUGAGGUGGGAAAACUCCCCCUUUUUCUGCCUCAAAUUUCCUGAUUUUACCCCGAUUUUACCCUGAUUUUACCCCGAUUUUCACCUCUGAAAUUGUGCUCGGGUACACGAGAUAUGAGGUGGGAAAAGCGCCCCCCUUCCUGCCUCAAAUUUCCUGAUUUCACCCCGAUUUCACCACGAUUUCCACCUCUGAAAUUGUGCUCGGGUACACAAGAUGUGAGGUGGGAAAACUCCCCCUUUUCCUGCCUCAAAUUUCCUGAUUUUACCCCGAUUUCAGCCCGAUUUUACCGCGAUUUCCACCUCUGAAAUUGUGCUCGGGUACACGAGAUGUGAGGUGGGAAAAGCGCCCCCUUGCUGCCUCGGAUUUCCUGAUUUUACCCCGAUUUCAGCCCGAUUUUCACCUCUGAAAUUGUGCUCGGGAAAUGCAAAAUGUGAGGUGGGAAAACUCCCCCUUGCUGCCUCGGAUUUCCUGAUUUUACCCCGAUUUCAGCCCGAUUUUCACCUCUGAAAUUGUGCUCAGGUACAUGAGAUGUGAGGUGGGAAAAGCGCCCCCUUGCUGCCUCCAAUUUCCUGAUUUCACCCCAAUUUUCCCCUCCUAAAUUGUGUGUGGUGAGCACAAGAUAUGAGGUGGGAAAACUCCCCUUUUCCUGCCUCAAAUUUCCUGAUUUUACCCCAAUUUUCCCCUCUGAAAUUGUGAUCAGGAAACACAAAAUGUGAGGUGGGAAAAUCCCCCCCUUCCUGCCUCCAGUUUCCUGAUUUCAUCCCAAUUUUACCCCAAUUUUCCCCCUCUGAAAUUGUGAUCAGGAAACACAAAAUGUGAGGUGGGAAAAUCCUCCAAUUUCCUGAUUUCACCCCUAAUUUUCACCUCUGAAAUUGUGCUCAGGAUACACAAAAUGUGAGGUGGGAAAAAUUCCCUUUCCUACCUCAAAUUUCCAGAUUUCAUCCCAAUUUUCCCCUCCAAAAAUGCAAAAUGUGAGGUGGAAAAAAUUCCCUUUCCUACCUCAAAUUUCCCGAUUUCAUCCCAAUUUUCCCCUCCCAAACACAAAAUGCGAGGUUGCAAAACUUCCCCACCUCAAUUUCCUCUUUUUUCCCUGAUUUUUUCCUCCCAUUUCCCCUCAAAUUUCCCCUUCUAUAUUGUGCACACCGAGCACAAAAUGUGAGGUUGGAAAAAUCCCUCCCCAAACCUCAAAUUCCCAUUUUUUUCCCCAAUUUUCCCCUCCAAAAUCCUGAGCAAAAUGUGAGAUUGGAAAAAAUUUUCCCUGCCUCAAAUUCCCAUUUUUUCCCCUCCAAAAUCCUGAACAAAAUGUGAGGUUGGAAAAAAUUUUCCUGCCUCAAAUUCCCAUUUUUUUCCCCUCCAAAAUCCUGAGCAAAAUGUGAGUUUGGAAAAAAUUUUCCCUGCCUCAAAUUCCCAUUUUUUCCCCCAAUUUUCCCCUCCAAAAUCCUGAGCAAAAUGUGAGGUUGGAAAAAAUUUUCCUUGCCUCAAAUUCCCAUUUUUUCCCCCAAUUUUCUCCUCCAAAAUCCUGAACAAAAUGUGAGAUUGGAAAAAAUUUUCCCUGCCUCAAAUUCCCAUUUUUUUCCCCUCCAAAAUCCUGAGCAAAAUGUGAGAUUGGAAAA